rnacentral:rRNA from 1 species
CCUGGUUGAUCCUGCCAGUAGUCAUAUGCUUGUGUUAAAGAUUAAGCCAUGCAUGUGUAAGUAUGAAUCAUACGACGGUGAAACUGCGAAUGGCUCAUUAAAUCGGUUAGAAUUUAUUUGAUGGUAACCCUUUACUUGGAUAACCGUGGUAAUUCUAGAGCUAAUACAUGCACGAAGUCCCGAUUGGCCGGCCUCGGUUGGCUGAAAGGGAUGCACUUGUUAGCUGAGCAAGCCAAUGGCGGCCGGCUUCGGUCGGUCGUCACCAAGGCGAAUCAUAACAAUUGAGCUGAUCGCAUGGCCCAGAGCCGGCGACGCUUCAUUCAACUUUCCGCCCUAUCAACUUUCGAUGGUAGUAUAGAGGACUACCAUGGUUGUAACGGGUAACGGGGAAUUAGGGUUUGAUUCCGGAGAGGGAGCUCGAGAAAUGGCUACCACUUCCAAGGACGGCAGCAGGCGCGCAAAUUACCCAAUUCCGACACGGAGAGGUAGUUACAACAAAUAACAAUACGGGUCCCAUACGGGUCUCGUAAUUGGAAUGAGUACAACUUAAACCCCUUAACGAGGAGCAAUUGGAGGGCAAGUCUGGUGCCAGCAGCCGCGGUAAUUCCAGCUCCAGUAGCGUAUAUUAAAGCUGUUGCGGUUAAAAAGCUCGUAGUUGGAUUUGAGGGCUCAGGGAGGCACGGUCUGCGCUACGCGUAUGCACUGGCCACCCGGCCCUUUCCUUCUGGAUGCUCGGUGCUGCUCUUAACUGAGUGGCGCUAAGGCGGGUUCACGCCUGCCGGAGUUCCAGAUCUGUUACUUUGAAAAAAUUAGAGUGUUCAAAGCAGGCUGCUUGUCAGCCCUGAAUACAUUAGCAUGGGAUAACGCGACAGGACUGCGGUCCUCAUCUCGUUGGUUUCUGAGGCGCCGAGUAAUGAUUAAUAGGGAUAGUUGGGGUGAUUAGUAUUUAGGCGUCAGAGGUGAAAUUCUUGGAUCGCCUAAAGACUAACUUAUGCGAAAGCAUUUCACAAGGAUGUUUUCAUUAAUCAAGAACGAAAGUUGGGGGAUCGAAGACGAUCAGAUACCGUCGUAGUCUCAACCAUAAACUAUGCCGACCAGGGAUCGGAAGACGUUAUAUUAUACGACUCCUCCGGCACCUUGUGAGAAAUCAUAAGUGUUUGGGCCUCGGGGGGAGUAUGGUCGCAAGGCUGAAACUUAAAGGAAUUGACGGAAGGGCACCACCAGGAGUGGAACUUGCGGCUUAAUUUGACCCAACACGGGGAAACUUACCAGGUUCAGACAGCAGAAGGAUUGACAGAUUGAUAGCUCUUUCUUGAUUUGUAGGGUGGUGGUGCAUGGCCGUUCUUAGUUGGUGGAGUGAUUUGUCUGGUUGAUUAA